rnacentral:rRNA from 1 species
AGUUUGAUUCCUGGCUCAGGAUGAACGCUGGCGGCGUGCCUAAUACAUGCAAGUCGAACGAGUUCUCGUUGAUGAUCGGUGCUUGCACCGAGAUUCAACAUGGAACGAGUGGCGGACGGGUGAGUAACACGUGGGUAACCUGCCCUUAAGUGGGGGAUAACAUUUGGAAACAGAUGCUAAUACCGCAUAGAUCCAAGAACCGCAUGGUUCUUGGCUGAAAGAUGGCGUAAGCUAUCGCUUUUGGAUGGACCCGCGGCGUAUUAGCUAGUUGGUGAGGUAAUGGCUCACCAAGGCGAUGAUACGUAGCCGAACUGAGAGGUUGAUCGGCCACAUUGGGACUGAGACACGGCCCAAACUCCUACGGGAGGCAGCAGUAGGGAAUCUUCCACAAUGGACGCAAGUCUGAUGGAGCAACGCCGCGUGAGUGAAGAAGGCUUUCGGGUCGUAAAACUCUGUUGUUGGAGAAGAAUGGUCGGCAGAGUAACUGUUGUCGGCGUGACGGUAUCCAACCAGAAAGCCACGGCUAACUACGUGCCAGCAGCCGCGGUAAUACGUAGGUGGCAAGCGUUAUCCGGAUUUAUUGGGCGUAAAGCGAGCGCAGGCGGUUUUUUAAGUCUGAUGUGAAAGCCCUCGGCUUAACCGAGGAAGCGCAUCGGAAACUGGGAAACUUGAGUGCAGAAGAGGACAGUGGAACUCCAUGUGUAGCGGUGAAAUGCGUAGAUAUAUGGAAGAACACCAGUGGCGAAGGCGGCUGUCUGGUCUGUAACUGACGCUGAGGCUCGAAAGCAUGGGUAGCGAACAGGAUUAGAUACC